UAAAAUUUGUGCCAUAUAUGACAACUGGAUCCAAGUUUUUAUUGUGAUGUGAUGCUUUUGCUGAUGUAGCUUCUGAAGUUGCAAGGGAUCUCGGACUCGGACAUGGAUUAGGGUAUAUGCCUGAGCCAAGGUCAGGUUCUGCUGUUCUUGUUGAAUCGAUGUUGUUAUUGCGAACUGGAUCUAUUUUAUUGUCAUCAAAUGACUCCUUAUCUGAUGGCAUGGUAUUCAUCUGAAUUUUCAUAUGUAUGAGAAUGACAUUAGUGAUGUACGAUUAACACCUCCCUUCUUCUCUAAGAGAGAGAGAAUGACAUUAAUAAUGGAUGCACAUCUAGAAUGUACAAUUUGCCAAAGCAUGCAAUUCCGUUAUGGAGAAAAGAACUAAAUACGAGUUACAUUUCGUAUACAGAAUGCGAAAGAGCUAACAAUUUACUAAGCAUGCAAGCGUGCAAUCAAAAAAGAACCAGAAUAACCUAAACAAACACAAAACAUCAAUGUUACAAGCUCAGGUAGGAGGACGGGCUCGAAAUCAUCGGUUAUGCGGUCGUAGAUCCCGUGCUGCUGCAUGAGAUGGGCGCAUAGAAUGAAGAAGCAAGAGGGCCCAUGAAAGAUGAGCCGUGGCAUCCCAAGCUCGCGA
rnacentral:lncRNA from 1 species